rnacentral:piRNA from 1 species
UGGGGAGGUGUUGUGCUAGAAGUCACGGA